rnacentral:other from 1 species
AGUUUUACGAGGUAUCAGCACUUUUCUUUCAAGGCAGGAUGAAAAAUACAAAGCGCUAGACUUUUAAAGUUUAAAUAGACAGGUCUGAGUGCCUGAACGUGCUCUUCCAUUUUACUUUAACCCUCCAAGAAGUAUUCUGAUCCAGUUUCACUGCUGAUCAGCAAGGGUAAGUUGAAAGU